rnacentral:lncRNA from 1 species
AUUCCUUGACCCAAGAGACGAUGGACUCUAGCGAGGAGUACACAGACAGUGAGAUGAUAAGAGAUUUGAUAGUUAGGAACGACGACUUAAAGGUUAGAGCUGAGCAAGCGGAGGCACAGAAUCGUACUCUCCAGAUUUCAGAACAGCAGUACAAGGGCGCUGCUCACCGAACACAUAUAGAAUUAGCCGAGUUACGAGGGAGGUUGGAGCAGAGAGAGAUAGGCGUUGAUGAGAAUUGAAUAAAUUUAUCGUCAAACAAAAUAAGAGACAACGUAUAUAAAACUCUUGAUUGCAGUGUAUAUAUACUAUAUGCUAAUCAGGGUAACUUAUGUAUGUAGAUGUCGGGUGAGAAAGAUAUGUGGAAUAAGAAGGAUCAGGUCCAUACCCCCGAGCUAAUAUCAAGGCCAACAGCUGAAAUAGAAGCUUACCAGGAACCCAAAUCAGACAAGGUGGCUAUAGGGGAAAACGUAG